rnacentral:rRNA from 1 species
GACGAACGCUGGCGGCGUGCUUAACACAUGCAAGUCGAGCGGUAAGGCCCUUUCGGGGUACGACGAGCGGCGAACGGGUGAGUAACACGUGGGUGACCUGCCCUCCAGCUCUGGGAUAAGCCUGGGAAACCGGGUCUAAUACCGGAUAUGACUCCAUGACGCAUGUUGUGGGGUGGAAAGCCUUGUGCGGCUGAGGAUGGGCCCGCGGCCUAUCAGCUUGUUGGUGGGGUGAUGGCCUACCAAGGCGACGACGGGUAGCCGGCCUGAGAGGGCGGACCGGCCACACUGGGACUGAGACACGGCCCAGACUCCUACGGGA